AUGGCUGUCUCGUCGCCGCUGCCGCGGUGGGCGCCCACGCCGAGCCCGUCGCGGCCGCUCUGGCUCUGGGGCGGCGGCACGCCCGACGCGCGAACCGGCUCCGGCGGCGAAGGCUGGUCGCUGGGCAGGAUAUUCCCGUGGGCGAGCGCCUGGCAGCGCCGUGCUCCCGCGGGCGUGGACGGCCGCGGGCCUGCGGGUUUCGACGGCGUGGAAGUAGCGCCGUCCACGAGGGCGGCGGUGGCGCCUGCGCCGGUCCGGUGGGCGGGCACGGACGAGGACCCCGGGGUGUUCCUGACGUGGGAGGACGUGUGCGUCUCGGUGGCCGCCGGCGCCUACGGGGCCCAGCCGGUGAGCAUCCUGAGCGGGAUCACCGGGCACGCCGGGCCGGGGGAGGUGCUCGCCAUCAUGGGGCCGUCCGGCUGCGGCAAGACCACGCUUCUCGAUACUCUCGCAGGAAGGUUGGGGCCUGGGAUCACCCAGACCGGGUCGAUUCUCAUCAACGGCCGCCGGGAGAAGCUCGCCUUCGGAACCUCGGCCUACGUGACCCAAGACAACGUGCUGAUGUCGACGAUGUCGGUGCGGGAGGCCGUCUACUACUCGGCGCAGCUGCAGCUGCCGGGGAGCAUGCCGGCGGUGGAGAAGCGGGCGCACGCGGACGCCGUGAUCCGGGAGAUGGGGCUGGGCGACGCCAUGGACACGCGCAUCGGCGGGCGGAUGACCAAGGGCAUCAGCGGCGGGCAGCGGAAGCGGGUCACCAUCUGCAUCGAGAUGCUCACCCGACCCCGGCUGCUCUUCCUCGACGAGCCCACCAGCGGGCUCGACAGCGCCGCCUCCUACCACGUCAUGAGCCACAUCGCCAGGGUCGCCGCAAGGGAGGGCAUGACUGUCGUCGCCGCCGUGCACCAGCCCAGCGGCGACGUCUUCGACCUCUUCCACCGCCUCUGCCUCCUCGCCUACGGUCGGACCGUCUUCUUCGGACCCGCCUCCGACGCCAAUCAGUUCUUCACUGAAAGUGGCUUCCCAUGCCCACACCUGAGGAACCCUUCUGACCACUUCCUGAGGACAAUCAACAAAGAUUUUGACGAGGUAGAAAUUGUCGAGAGUUCCAAAGCUAGGAGAAAAACUGCGGCUGAAGCAAUAGAGAUCCUGACAGAUGCUUACCAGUCCCCCGCUUAUUCAGAGAAAACAAUGGACCGGAUAGCUGAGAUGAAAGGGAUAGGUGGAGCUCCAUUUAGGAAGAGGGAGCAAGCCGGCUUCUCAACGAAGCUCUUUGUGCUCACCAGAAGGUCAUUUGUGAAUAUGCACAGGGACAUAGGAUACUACUGGAUGCGUUUGGGUGUUUACCUGGGCAUUGGCAUUUGUCUUGGCACCAUAUUCUACCAACUUGGCCACAGCUACAGUUCCAUCCAGUCUCGAUGUGAAGUCAUAAUGUAUACGACAGCCCUUCUUACUUUCAUGGCUAUUGGAGGAUUCCCCUCUUUUGUAGAGGACGUAAAGGUAUUCAGAAGGGAGAGGCUGAGCGGCCAUUACGGCGUGGCAGAGUUUGUGAUCUCAAACACGCUGUCGGCCACUCCAUACCUGGCCGUCAUCGCCGUGAUCCCCGGCGCGAUGCUGUACUACCUUACUGGGCUAACAAAAGGGCCUGACCGCUUCGCCUACUUCGUUGUCAACCUGUGCAUGUGCACAAUGCUGGUGGAGAGCAUGAUGAUGAUCAUCGCCGUCAUCGUCCCAGACUUCCUGAUGGGGAUCAUUGUUGGGGCCGGGGUGCAAGGGGUGAUGAUGCUCAAUGGCGGUUUCUUCCGCCUCCCUAACGAACUCCCAAAGCCAGUGUGGAAGUACCCUUGCUACUACAUCUCCUUCCACAAGUACGCGGUGCAGGGGUUCUACAAGAACGAGUUCAUAGGGCAGACGUUCCCAAGCGACCAGCUGGUCGAGAAGAAUGUCACCAUCAGUGGCCUUCGGGUGCUGCAAGAGAAGCUGCAGGUGGAGAUGGGGUACUCCAAGUGGGUCAACAUUGCCAUCCUUUGUGGGAUGGUGGUAGUGUACAGGGUCCUGUUCUUCGCAAUUGUCAAGAUUGCGGAGGAAGUCAGGCCAAAACUAAGGGGGAUGAGAUGCAAAUUGUGUAAAUAG
rnacentral:rRNA from 1 species